UACGGGGGGGGCAAGCGUUGUUCGGAAUUACUGGGCGUAAAGGGCGCGUAGGCGGUCUACUAAGUUGGAUGUGAAAACUCUGGGCUUAACCCAGAGCCUGCAUUCAAAACUGAUAGGCUGGAGUUCUGGAGGGGAUAGCGGAAUUCCUGGUGUAGCGGUGAAAUGCGUAGAUAUCAGGAGGAACACCGGUGGCGAAGGCGGCUAUCUGGACAGAAAUCUGACGCUGAGGCGCGAAAGCUAGGGGAGCAAACAGG
rnacentral:rRNA from 1 species